CAGUAGCCGCGGGAAUACGAAGGGUGCAAGCGUUAAUCGGAAUUACUGGGCGUAAAGCGUGCGUAGGCGGUGAGUUAAGUCUGCUGUGGAAUCCCCGGGCUCAACCUGGGAAUGGCAGUGGAUACUGGCUCGCUAGAGUGUGUCAGAGGAUGGUGGAAUUCCCGGUGUAGCGGUGGAAUGCGUGGAGAUCGGGAGGAACAUCAGUGGCGAAGGCGGCCAUCUGGGACAACACUGACGCUGAGGCACGAAAGCGUGGGGAGCAAACAGGAUUAGAUACCCCCGUAGUCCCUGUCUCUUAUAA
rnacentral:rRNA from 1 species